UCAAGCUACUAAGAGCGUAGAGUGGAUGCCUUGGCACCGAGAGCCGAUGAAGGACGUGAUAAGCUGCGAAAAGCUACGGGGAGUUGCAAAUAAACUUUGAUCCGUAGAUGUCCGAAUGGGGAAACCCGGCUGUGCAAACCACAGUCAUCAUACAGCCAAUCCAUAACUGUAUGAAGGGAACGCUGGGAACUGAAACAUCUAAGUACCAGCAGGAGGAGAAAGAAACAUCGAUUUCCUAAGUAGCGGCGAGCGAAAGGGAAACAGGCCAAACCAAAGUACUUGUACUUUGGGGUUGCGGACUGCGUCGUGGCACAGAUUGAAGGUAGUCGAAGCGUUUGGAAAGACGCAUCAUAGAGGGUGAUAAUCCCGUAGACGAAACCGGAUAGAAGCCUAGCAGGAUCCAGAGUACCACGAGACACGAGAAACCUUGUGGGAAGCCGGGGGGACCACCCCCCAAGCCUAAAUACUCCUCGGUGACCGAUAGCGUAUAGUACUGUGAAGGAAAGGUGAAAAGAACCCCGGGAGGGGAGUGAAAAAGAACCUGAAACUCUAUGUUUACAAGCAGUGGAAGCACCAUAUGCGUGCGACCGCGUACUUUUUGUAGAACGGUCCGGCGAGUUAUUCGUAGUGGCAAGGUUAAGUACCAGAAGGUACGAAGCCGAAGGGAAACCAAGUCUGAAUAGGGCGAAGAUUAGUCGCUGCGAAUAGACCCGAAACCGGGUGACCUACCCAUGGUCAGGAUGAAGUUACCGUAAAAGGUAAUGGAGGUCCGAACUCACAUCUGUUGAAAAAGGUGGAGAUGAACUGUGGGUAGCGGAGAAAUUCCAAUCGAACCCGGAGAUAGCUGGUUCUCCUCGAAAUAGCUUUAGGGCUAGCGUUGUUAGGAGUCUAAUGGAGGUAAAGCACUGAAUUCCCUAGGGGGCCCACAAGCUUACCGAAGGAUAUCAAACUCAGAAUGCCAUAAAGAUACCAACAGCAGUCAGACUACGAGUGAUAAGACACGUGGUCAAAAGGGAAAGAGCCCAGACCAUCAGCUAAGGUCCCCAAGUGUAUGUUAAGUGGAAAAGGAUGUGAGAUUUCGAAGACAACUAGGAUGUUGGCUUAGAAGCAGCCAUACAUUCAAAGAGUGCGUAAUAGCUCACUAGUCGAGAGAUCUUGCGCCGAAAAUGUCCGGGGCUAAAACAUACCACCGAAGCUAUGGAAUCAUCUAGUAUGAUUGGUAGAGGAGCGUUGCAUCGGCGCUGAAGCAGUACCGGAAGGAGCUGUGGAGCUUAUGCAAGUGAGAAUGCCGGAAUGAGUAGCGAGAUAGAAGUGAGAAUCUUCUAGGCCGAAUAUCCAAGGUUUCCAGGGUAAAGCUGAUCUGCCCUGGGUAAGUCGGGACCUAAGGCGAGGACGAAAGUCGUAGUCGAUGGACAACUGGUUGAAAUUCCAGUACCACCUAUUAUCAGAACUGCAGGGACGCAGAAGGAUAGGGAAGGCGCAGAAUGGAAAGCUGCGUGCAAGCACAAAGUCGCAUCUGGUAGGCAAAUCCGCCAGACGAGGAUGAAGUGUGAUGCGGAUCGAAAUACAAGUAGAGAAGUUCCUGAAUCCACACUGCCGAGAAAAGCUGCUAUUGCGUGAUAGGUGCCCGUACCGUAAACCGACACAGGUGGAUGAGGAGAGAAUCCUAAGGCCGACGGGAGAAGCGUUGUUAAGGAACUCGGCAAAAUGACCCCGUAACUUAGGGAGAAGGGGUGCCUGCUUAACGGUAGGCCGCAGAGAAUAGGCCCAAGCAACUGUUUAACAAAAACACAGGUCUUUGCUAAACCGAAAGGUGAUGUAUAAGGGCUGACGCCUGCCCGGUGCUGGAAGGUUAAGGGGAGAGGUUAGGAGUAAUCCGAAGCUUUGAACUUAAGCCCCAGUAAACGGCGGCCGUAACUAUAACGGUCCUAAGGUAGCGAAAUUCCUUGUCAGGUAAGUUCUGACCCGCACGAAAGGCGUAAUGAUUUGGGCACUGUCUCGACA
rnacentral:rRNA from 1 species